UAAAACACUCACUCCCUGAACUUGCUUCCUGACUCUCAGCGCACAUCGAUUCAGAAUAACGCCUCACCUAAAGGAAGGAUCAGGGAGUGUUUUUUUUGUGUCAGGUGGAAUGAUGUGGGGUCCGGGAGCUGCUACAGAUUUUCAUGUCUCAGCCAGAUUGUCCCGACGGGCUCCCCUGCCUCAGCAGGAUCAACGGUCAGGCCUCUUGGUCACCAGGCCGCUUGUUAUGGAGCACACUUGUCACCAUCAUUACACGCACCUGCGCGUCAUCAUACUCACCUGGACUCCACCUCCCUGAUUACCUUCCCUGUAUAUGUCACUCUUUGGUUCCUUACCAGGUGUUAAUGUUCCUGUGUCAUAUAUGUGCAUUGUCCGUGUUUCUUAUUUUGCAUUAUGUUGUGUUUAUUUAUUAAAACACUCACUCCCUGAACUUGCUUCCCGACUCUCAGAGCACAUCAUUACAAUAUUCAGAUGGGACAGGUAUAUUAAAAUAUGCAAGACCUUCCCUUAUGAACGUAGCACACCCACCACCCUGUCCAGUUGACCGAUCUGAUUGAGCAAUAACCAGGAAUAAUAAAAUCAAGAAGUGGUCUAAGCCAUGUUUCUUGAACACAUAUCACGUCAAGUUUGAUCUCUAAAUCAAUUACAUAUUAAACUUCUGACCGUUAGCAAUAAGGCUACAGGCAUUCCACGGAAGGAUAACAAAAACCAAAGGUCUUGUCAUCAUACUGAGACAAUCCAUAAUUAGUAUUAUUUGGAGUCAACAUAUCAACAAUCUUGGUGACAGUAACAUCUGCCAAAUUCUGCACUGCCUACAAACUCUGUUGCUGCUUCCACAAUGAUCUUCAAAUUGGCAGUUAGUUUUUCCACAAACACAGUCAGGUUGAUAACCAUUCCAAUGAAGGCUAUGGAGUCAAUAAGAUGACCUAUUAAGGUGUCCUUUGACAUGACACAUUUGUUAGAGCAAGAUUUCUGAACAGGUAUCUGUGUCUAAGCAACAUUUUCUACAGUAGUUUCACUUAUUCCAGGAGACUAUUAUCUCCAUCAUUCUGCCUGUUAUGCUCCCCAGUUUCUGUGUUGUUUUGGGUUUGUAUGUGUGUAUUUCAGGAAAUGGCGUCCUGGAUACAAAGCAGCUGAUUGGUCGGCCCCAUCGAUGAUUGGCGCUCUGAACCCACCCUCUCGUCAGGGGAAACAGCUGUUUUCAAUUACCAACUCCUUCUCCAGCUGGAUAAAAGCCAGUGUUCCUUUGUCAGGAGAAGAUUGAGCUCCUUGGAUGUUCUGUGUUGGUUGUAGGCGAGUGACAGUUUUGCUGAAAGUCUUUUGUAGCCACUACUUCUGAGGGAGGAAGGGGUUAGGCAAAAGGCCUGUGGACAUGUAUAACCUGUAGUAUUUACUGUCUAUGCACAGUAGGUAAGACCUGGGCAGACCACCCCCUGUAUUUUGGUUAGCGUGCCAGGAGGUGCUAAAAGGAUAGCACAGAUCAUCCAGGUCCACGACUUUCAUCAUCCCCAUCCAUGUCGAUCAGUCUAGCACAGCUGUUGCUAAAACCACCAACCACAAUUUAGAACGAUGUUCCUUCCUCCUGACCUCUCCAGUUCUGUUGUUACUGGCAAGACGAAGAGGCAUUCAGUGUUGUUUUCUAUCAGAAAGGAUACCGGUCAGGUUUAUUCGAUAAAAGCAAUGUCAAAAAAAUAAAUAAUCAUUACGACAUUUGUAAUGAAGGGCAGAUAUAGGAGAAAUGUUUAAGAUCAACAUUUUUAUUAGUUGGACAGGAUUUUUAUUUUGUCAAACUUUCUUUGACAAAUUGAUGGAGACUGAUUUUUGAAUAAAUUAUGAUUUCCAAAUAAGGCAAUUCAUGCAGAUUUGUGGACUCGAGUCACAUGACUUGGACUUGAGUCUGACAAGUCACAAAUGUGACGACUUGAGACUGGACUAUUAGGCUAUCCAUGUAAAUGUACUGUUUAGCAAUCUGCUACGGCUGCAUCUUUGCCACAACAGGCUACCUGUGGUAUUUUUAUAUUUCAGGUAGGUCUAGUUUGGUGGGUUAUAAUUUUACCUCAGUUGCGGAACUGCACAUGUCUAAACAUAGCUGUAACAUCACGCUACUUUCAAUACUUAUGGGAUGAAGAUGUAACAAAUUCUGGUGAAUUAAUGACGAUAUUUGUCCGGAAUAAAUAGACUACAGACAGAACAUGCAAUCUUAUCGACGGGGCUGUAGUGGAACAGGUUGAGUGAGAGCUUCAAGUUCCUUGGUGUCCACAUCACCAACAAACUAACAUGGUCCAAGCACACCAAGCCAGUCGUGAAAAGGGCACGACAAAACCCAUUCCCCCUCAGGAGGCUGAAAAGAUUUGGCAUGGAUCCUCAAAAGUUUAUACUGCUGCACCAUCGAGAGCAUGCUGACGUGUCAGAGGAAGGCCCUAAAAAGUGUCAGACUCCAGCCCCCCUAAUCAUACUAUUCUCUCUGCUAUCGCACGGCAAGCGGUACCAGAGCGCCAAGUCCAGCUCCAAGAGGCUUCUAAACAUCUUCUACCCGCAAGCCAUAAGACUCCUGAACAUCUAAUCAAAUGGCUACCCAGACUAUUUGUAUUUUUGGCACAACUGCUUGUCUUGUUUUGCACACUUUGUACAAAAUAAUAAAAUGCAGUACUACAGGAUAUUUCUUAACGUAGCUCUUUAUUAGCUAGCUAUAACUGGCAUGUUCACGUAUCGCCAACCAGGAUCAAACUGCUCCAUGACCUAACCAUUUGGGUGGUCUUAACCAAUCAUAGCACAGUAUGAUACGGCGGUAAAAUGCAUCCAAUUACAAUUCAGUAUGUUUACACGUGAAUAUUACAUCCCCCUUCUUUUAAAACAAAAUAAAUGUUUACAUAUUCUAAGGGUUUCUUUUGAUACAUGCUCUGUAGUUUGAACUCAAGGUAGGUAACCAUUUAUAUUGUAUACUACACCAACUGAAUCAACAGACUCCGAAACAAUAAUCCAACAUACUGUUACUUUUCAAACAAGGGAUUCUCAGCAACUCAGCUUUCACUGUAGAAAUAACAUCUUCACAUUUCAAACAAAUACAAUACCUAAGCAUUUCAAGUGAACUUUCAAUAACAAGUUUACAGUCUGGAACUCUUUUAGGGCAGCGAACCGCCUACACCCUUUGACGUUUCACAGGUCUAGGACAGCUCUGGUCUUGACCUCUCUUCCAGAUCUUGUGCAAUAUGAUGCUGUCAGUAAACAGUUCUUGUGGUGUUGCAGGUAAGUAUGAUUGAUGUAUGUUGUGCUGUGUGUGUGUUGAGUCCAUCACUUUCAGGGGAACAGUUCAUCUCAUCAGUGUGUUAUUUUGUGUUCAGUAGGUGACGACGAUUGCGGCGGUACACCGCUCCUUCUGCGGUGCGGACGUAAUAUGUAACGUUCCGUGUCAGCUGGCUGGAUGACGACUGCUGGUUUCCAGUGGCCAUGCUCCUGGAUUCUAACUGACUCUCCGUCGAUCAGUGGUGGCAGUGGUCAAACUGACCUGUCGUAGUAUCGCUUUUGUUGUUGUUGUCUCCGUGCACGUUUUUUUUAAUGCAUUUCCUUGUAGCUGACGACCUCAGGUUGCAGCUGCUGGUUGGUGCUGGGAAGAAUUGAGCGAAUUCUGCGGCUCAUCAACAGCUGGGCUGGUGAUUUGAAGUAGUCAACUGGAGUGUUGCGGUAUUCAAGGAGACUGAGAAAUGGAGUCAAUUUAGCAGACCAGCUCACAGGAAGGACAGGAAGAGGAGAGGAGUUGUCGGGGCCGACCAGCUCACAGGAAGGACAGGAAGAGGAGAGGAGUUGCCGGGGCCGACCAGCUCACAGGAAGGACAGGAAGAGGAGAGGAGUUGCCGGGGCCGACCAGCUGACAGGAAGAGGAGAGGAGUUGCCGGGGCCGACCAGCUCACAGGAAGGACAGGAAGAGGAGUUGUCUGGUUGUUGUUUUGACCUCUCUCAUUGUACCUUUCUUUUCACACACGUCAGUUCUGUUUAAAUUCACUCAUAGUCAUUUGUUUAUAAAGUCUUAGGAUAGCAUUCAUUAUUUUAGAUUUCUGAAUUGAAACUCAUCCACAGAUGCUCUUGUUUGUUUCUUACGAGACUAAAGGUGAAUAUUUAUUUAAUUUAAAACCACUUGAAAACCAGGGUGUUGAAACUUUUUGUGAAGUUAUGUUCCAUCGACUGGUCCGUGACAUCCAGGGGCCGUUUGUUUAGCUGUGUUAUGGCAACAUAUUAUUUUCAUUUUUUCAGAGAGAGACACACACACAAACCUCUUCGUACCUCAGAUCUCCAGUGCCCUGCCCUCUCUCUCUUUGUGGCCAUGUCUGAAGUUCCUCUACUACGUCUAGGCUUUAUGAGUAGUCCCUGUAUCUGUCUGCAGUUGUGCCAAAAAUACAUGCUCUUGUUCUCUUAAAGAUUACAGGCUACACAUUCAUUUUUUUACAUGCACACACAAUAGUUUUAUUUUUUAAAACAUUUUUACAACACACAUACCUAUCAUGUUCUUUCCUGUACUUGAAUACUUAUGUUUUCAUAGUCGGUUGUUUCAGUUGUUUAUUAAUAUCGCAUGUAUACUUAAUCUGCUUAUUUCUUCCCUACACCUUUGCAGAUCUAAGACAAGAUGAAAGUAAAAACAUUCCCUUCCCAAA